rfam:Sphingomonas indica strain Dd16 genome assembly, chromosome: I
GGGCCGUUAGCUCAGUCGGUAGAGCAACUGACUUUUAAUCAGUAGGUCGCUGGUUCGAACCCAGCACGGCUCA